rnacentral:lncRNA from 1 species
AUGUUCUAUGUACCCAGGAUACCAUCCAUCAGAUCAUGGUUAUCUCACUUUGAAUUCAUCCUGUGUGAAUUGCUGCUCCAUCAGCGGCUGCCAACCCUCCCCAUGACUUGGUGCCCUGGGAGUGGUGCUGUCUGUGUUUGGUCAAUGUGGGCAAGCCCCAGUGCCACACAUGGCCUAGAGAAGCACUCAGCACGCGAGCUGCUCACUGUGACACAUCUGGGACCAUUGGAGAUGUCACACCAUAUAUACAGUCACACACAGUGAGUGCUCAGUAAGUGGAUCAUGCCCAGUUUUUUCCAUGGAGUGUAACAGAAUAGAACCUGUUGUUGGGCCUUCAUUAGUUUCAAGCAUUACCCAUUUGGCAAUCCAAGCUAGAGAAUCCAGCAUCUGUGUAUUUACCCUCGACCAAAGAAUAGCCCUCCUGUAUCAUCAAGGAAAGAUUAUCUGGAUAAAUUGAACUUUUCCAUCAGAAGCUUAUCUGAUAUAUCUAUCCCGCUUGAGGGCCAACUCCCAAGCUAGAAUGCCUUUACACAUGGCUGUAAGUAACUCACCUAAUUAGCCCAGAUCAAGGAGUGAUCAGGAGGGAGUAGGCGUAAAACUAAAAUUGGUUAAUUUGGUUCCUCAUUAGUAGUUCUGUCUAUGGAAUAUCUGGAGGAGGAUUAGGGGUGUUUCAUGCUCUAAAUUUAUCCAUGUAAUCACUCUGCCAAAUUCUAUAAUGGGGGAAUUGCACUGAAACUUGGCAACCCCAAGAACUAGUAUUUCAAAACCUGCUGCGAUAACCCAGGCAUAGGAGGGAGGGCAUUGGGUGGCUUGCACUUAUUUUUUUCUCCUUGAUCCUGGAUUUUGGAAGAUCCAGAGAAAACACUAGUCCUGUCUGGUUCCCCUGGUGACAUUUCUCUCCCUCCUCCCUGUGCCUUUCCUCCUAGCCCUCCUCCCCACGUCCCUGGCCGUGUCUUUCUCUCUAAUUAUCUGUUGCUCACUGUCACUCUCCUUCUGCCUGCCUGUGUCUGUCAGCUCAUUUGUUUGCUUUUUUUCCACAAGGAGAAAAAUGGGCACUUGCCAUCCUCUAUUGAGACUUAAAAAUAUUACUGAUAUCAUCAUUUAUACCAUUUUUAGCCUUAUAAAAAGAAAACCUUCAGGUAGUAGUCAUGGCAGUUUUUAAAUUUCACUUUGCAAGCCAUUGAAACUAGAGAGUCUUUAGUUUAGAUGUUGUGGAAAAGAAAGGUAAUCUAUAAACCAUUUUGAAUUCCUUGGGAGAUUUCAUUUGACUUGAAGGUUGCUAGUCCUUUAUAAUAAAAUGAAUCUGCUUAUCUGUUGAUCCUGCA